GCCUGGCCCGGCUAGGUCCCGGUCCCGGUCCCGGUCCGCGGGGCGGCUCUCGGCCUCGGUGCUGCGGUGGCGGCAGGCUCGCACUCCAGACCCGGUUUUUCUCUGCUCACCUCUUCCGUCUCCCGCAGCCCCUUCCCGCUGGGCCAGCCCCUUCGGGCACAGCCACGGCUGCGCUCCCUUGUGUGGCUCCUCGCCUUGAGACCCCGGCUCCCCCUCAGGUGUGACCCCCGCUCAGUGUCCAGGUACAGAGCACCCGCUGCUCAGAGGGCACACGUCCAGCCCAGCGUAAUGCUCAACAUCAGCAGGGAACGCCAAGGCCCCACAGCUGAUCUGCACGACUUCUCUGCAAACAGCAGCACGUGUCCUUGUUGUGUGCCUGGAUUGCCCUGGAUUCCCGGUGCUGUGCAGAGCGCUGGAAUGAAACCCUGGACAGCUUUUCCCGUUGAAAACCUUAAAACUCAAACUUUGUUGAUCUCUGAGAGUCAAGACAGAAAUGGUUUAAUCCUUCCAUUGUAAAAAAAGGAGAGAGAACAAGAGAGUAAGAGUGGCUGAAGAACUGCAUUAUGUACUGUGUGCCCUGAAGUACAGAAUAUCAGGGAACUGAGGGAUAGCCCGAGGUGAACAACUGAUGCUGGGCUUUAUGAUGAAUUCAGGUCAUUGACUUGAGAUCUGGAUGACAACAUCUGAAUUUGUGAUAUUUAAAUCCAGGAUUGAAAUUAAAUUCUUCAAAUUUUAAAAGAUGUUCAUCCCACUUUGAACCUUGGUCAGUUUACAGCAUCUAGGUAUGCACCACAUUUUAGAGCCCUUAGCUAUCUUCUAUUCAGACUGCUGCAAAAAGGCUAUGCAAUAUUAUGUAAUUCAAUCCCAGUGCAUUAACCUAAAAUUACCUUUGACAUACUUCAGUUAACUAACCAGUGUGGAAUUAAGCUUGGAAUAAAAUCACAUCAUAAGAACAAAGUGUGGGAACAUGGUAGGCAAAGCUCAGUUCUUGACUUGCAGGCAAGUAAUCUACUAGAAAUUCACUUACAAUUAUUUUAAAGCAUACCUUAAAAUUUUUCCUCUGAGUUUAGUAGAGGUACGUUACAACCAUAGGAAGACUGUUGACCUAUAAUGCAGUAAAGAGAGAAAAUUCCCACCUGACAUCCAACAGAACAAAAUCUUAUUGUGGCCUAUGUCUUGAAGGUUCCCAGCUAUGAUCUAAGAACGCGCCUUUGCUUUCAGGUGAAGAGGACUAAGAGAGUUUGGGGCAAAGUGUCCUUUAAAAUUGUAAUUAUAUUUUGUGUAAAGCUUUUUACUGCAAUACCAUUACAGUCUUAUAUGUUUACACUUCUAAGGCAAAUACAAAUAUUUCUUACUCUCCAGGUGUGUAAGUGGGAUAAAACCAUUGAAAUUGGUGGGAGGCAUCAGCAUUCAAAAGUUUUCAUGAGGAUACAGUUAUACUAGAUCUUACAGGAACUUAUAGCACAUAUUGUUGGUUUCUCUAUACUACAUAACUAUAUCUGAACAAGAUGGGAUUUGUGUCACCAAAGUAGUAUAAAAAGAAGAAACCACAUCCCUGAGAAACUUGAGCCCCACAGAAAACCCACACCCUUGUUUGACAAUUUUUGAGUGACCAAGGCUUCUGUGUAACAAACAUGCAACCAGCCUUGUCUAUCAGAAAGAUUCAGAAAUGAUUUAAGAUUAGCACAUCUAACUCUGGGUAAGCAGGCGACACAGCACUAUUCUGUUUUGCAACUCCUUUUUUAAAAUUGUCUGACUGCUCAAAUUUCUUCCCAUCCCUAAGCUGCAUGUUUUACAAUGGGAGGAGAGAAAAGGUAAAAAAAGGGCACAGCAAGGGCUGACUACUCAAUAAAGUAUGGAGAGCCAGGAGCCAAACACCAUAGCACAGCUGGCAAGGCAGUGGCCUCCAAAGGCCAGGCCUCCCCAGCACCUGAGCAGGACCAACAGGAGAGGCCCAGAGGCUGUGGCCAGGUCUACCAAGCCUAGACCACCUGUCUUGACUCCAUGGACCUGCCUGACAAUCCCUUGAGCGUGUAACCCCGGUUACUGUCACUAGACCUGAUCCUGACCCAUGGAGUGAUGUUGUGGCUGGGCGUUGUCACCACAAACUGCCCCGAUGCUCUGGCUGGCUCUGGCUGCCAUUGCCAGUGCUGCCCUGUGCCCUGCACACAGGUGUGCCCUCAGGUGCCACACUGGGAGGCCCCUGCCCCACCUGCCUUGUGGCCACUCACCUCCUGGUCCUCCAUCCCUCAGUGAGCCCCUGGACUCACUGCUCUCUGGCAGGUUUACUUUGAGCCUCUGGAUGAGAAGGGGAACUUGGAUAUUUUUCUGUAUUUCUGCCCAAAGGCAGGCUCAUGACAAUCAUCCUAUGG